AAUAGGAAAGGAACCCUAUCACAUAAUAUUAUGUUAGCCUGCAACUUCGACCUUAACUUCACAUUCAUUUCAUGUGGAUGGGAAGGGUCAGCAUCAGAUGCAGGAGUCCUUAGAUCUGCUGAUAGCAAAUGAUUUAUUGUGCUAGAGGGGAAGUUCUAUUUUGUAGAUGGUGGGUACGCAAAUACAUCAUCCUUUAUUGCCCCGUAUCGAGGAGUUCGGUACCAUCUCAGUGAGUUUAGAAGGCAUCGUUCGUCUCAAAGUGGUUAUGCAAACUACAAAUAACUGUUUAACCAUCGCCAUGCAUUGCUUCGCAACCAUUUCCCAAAAAGCCAUUUCCCCCUCUUUUACCAAUUGGAAGCACUAUAUGAAGGAAGUGUUGCUACAGGAAAUCUAAACUUCACAUCAACCAUGCAAGUGGAUCCACCUUCUGCUCCUGCACCUCCUCCUCUUGUUACUCCUGCUGUUCCUCCUCCUGCACCUCCUGUUGAAAGAAGUAACUUUGAACAAAGCAGUAGUCACUUGGGUGCGAAUCCAUUUGCUUCGAGUUCGAUGGCCAACAGACUUCUAAUGCACAUAAUGAACGCAAUGAAGCUCAAGAUUCAAGACAAGAAGAAGGUGGACUUGGGAGAAAGUGUAAGCAAAGUCACAUUGAAUCUGCUCUUGAGGGAUAUGUGGAGUACAAAAAGAGCCAAACCAGCAAAACUUUGCAAGCUCUUGAAGAAAGGAAAAGGCAUGACAAAGAAUUUUCAGUUGAGAACUGUGUUGAUCAAGUGGAUGCUAUGAUUGAAUUAACCAAUGAGGAGAAGUCAUAUGCUUUGGAUGUCUUUGAGUCUGAGACACACGGGAAGAUAUUCAUUACAACCAAGAAUCCUAAUGUUCAAUUAAUGUGGCUAAAGCGAAAAAUCAGAGUCCUGAUGGGAAGCACUACAUGAUCCGAGAGUUAGUCGCCAAGAUCCCAAAGGUACUUGUCUCUUUGAAUAUGCUCAGUGUAUGUUCUUUGAAUAUUCUUGAAUAUUGAAUAUUGAACACAUGUCAUCUCUGAUCUGUGUUUGGCAUCUCUUUGGGUUCUUGUUUCAUGUUUCUGUAUCAAUUUAUAUUUCAUGAGACGAACCUACACCAUAUUUUUAAAUAUAAUGCCAGAUGCAGCAAUUAGAAGUUACCUAGAUAUUGCUAGGUAUUGUUGAUGAAAUAUGCAGAAUUAUGAAUUCCCGUAUGUCCUUAAUAAAUUCUAGGAAUGGGGAUAAAUUAGUACAACAGAAAUAAUUCUAGAAAUGCAAAUAAUUUGGUAUGCUAAACAAUGGUAGCAAUAUGGACAGCUUGAUAAACCUGAGAGGAGUUCUGGUACUACCGCACCUUGGACCAGUCUGUGUCCUGUAACUGAAUGCUAUCUCGUUGAUAUCUUAUAUCCUGCGGGACUACAAAUAUGCAAGUUUUUACCAUGAUACAUUUGGCAUUGCUAAUCACUGUCAUAACUGAAUGCUAUCUUGUUGAGCUCAGGAAGCUGAAGAAUCACUUCCCUAGAUGAAAGAAAGACUACAAAUCUGUGUUAAGGAGGAGCUCAGGAAGCUGAAGAAUCACUUCCAUAUGUUUGAAUGCUCUGUUUCUACUAUGUGCUGUAGUCGUAAACCUAUAUGUAUUGUAGUAGUAACUGUACAGCACAUAUGUGCUGUAGUCUCGGUCAAACAGGGAAAUAUUGUGCGGUCGCAAAUACUGUUGCAGAAUGUUGUUGACUCCGUCUAUUUCUUGGUAAGCUAGUUGUGUCCUUUUUAUAUGGUCUCUAGUUGUUGACAAAUA